rnacentral:rRNA from 1 species
CCAAGGGCAUAGCUGGGUAGCUAAGUACGGAAAGGAUAAGCGCUGAAAGCAUCUAAGCGCGAAGCCUACUUCGAGAUAAGAUUUCCCACCGCAAGGUUAAGACCCCAUGAAGACUACAUGGUUGAUAGGUCAGAGGUGGAAGUGUGGUAACAUAUGUAGCUUACUGAUACUAAUAGGUCGAGGACUUGACCAA